rnacentral:rRNA from 1 species
AGAGUUUGAUCAUGGCUCAGGACGAACGCUGGCGGCGUGCUUAACACAUGCAAGUGGAGCGACGAACCAGGGCUUGCCCUGGGGCAGAGCCGCGAACGGGUGAGUAACACGUGGGUAACCUGCCCCGAAGACCGGGACAACCCGAGGAAACUCGGGCUAAUACCGGAUGUGGUCACUCUUCAUAAGGAGAAUGAGCAAAGGAAGCUUCGGCCUCCGCUUCGGGAUGGGCCCGCGGCCCAUUAGCUUGUUGGUGAGGUAACGGCUCACCAAGGCUUCGAUGGGUAGCUGGUCUGAGAGGACGAUCAGCCACACUGGGACUGAGACACGGCCCAGACUCCUACGGGAGGCAGCAGUGGGGAAUCUUGCGCAAUGGGCGACAGCCUGACGCAGCAACGCCGCGUGAGGGAAGAAGGCUUUCGGGUCGUAAACCUCUUUCAGGAGGGACGAAGCUUCGGGAGUGAAUAGCUUCUCCGGAAUGACGGUACUUCCACAGAAGCCCGGCUAACUACGUGCCAGCAGCCGCGGUA